ensembl:lncRNA
AUGUAUAUCUAUUUAUGUAAGAAUAAAUCACGUUUGGUUUCUCCAACAGGAGAGGAGGAUGAAAAUGACAGAAAAAGAGGUUCUUCUGGGACAGAAUAUGAUGACAUUGAGGAACAAGCCAGUGGAAUCUCUCCUUCUCAAACCCACCAUGAUGAAGACCUCGACGUCCCUCUCCUUCCCAAGAGACCCGAGAACAUUCUUGAUCAGGACACCUAUGAAGUGGAGACAGAGAAACAGCAGUACUAUGAUGAUGUCAUACCUGUCGAGGCUGCAGCCAAUGAAAAUGCAGGGAUGACAGGCACACAAUCAUAUGAAAAUGUAGAUGUGGAUGAAGGUGCAGAUUCAGAUUUAGAUGCAGGUUUAGUUGCAGAUGCAGUAUUGGUGACCACAGAGGUAGACGUUCACCCUCAAGCAGAGUAAUGAAGCAGUCACGUGACCAAAUUGUUCUUUUGAGUUAAUAUUAAUGAGAGAUAAGAUUGUAUGUUCUUAUAACAGUAGAAUAUUAGGAAGAAAAUAUGGAUAAACAAAUGCUGUUUAAUGAUGCUAGCUCUAAAGAUUUCUCUCAAGAUGUAUAAAAGAAGGGACUCAUGCAUAAAACUGAUUUGGAAUAACUAAAUCUUUAAUUAUCGUCACAGUAGUGUGUGAACUGAUGAAAAGAGCUCAUUUUUGUGCCGACAAAGCAGUCAAACGUUUUGUCAUUCUUUAGGUUUUGAUGUGUAGUUUUAAUCUGUUUGCUUCUGUUAUGCUUUAUUUGUUUUUUAGUCUGUUAAAGCUCAUGAGCAGGCCCACACGAACUCAGCAGAAAACCUUGAAAUUCAAAUGUAAUAAGUUAUCGCUAUCUUGUUCAUUUGAUUUGAUAAAAUCUUUUAAAAAUGUUCACUUGGUUCACCCAACAGCUUAAAUUUGCUGAAAAUUUCCAACAUGAGUUUGGUCACUACAGAUUUGGGAAAAAAAAUAGCAUUACAUCACUUCACCAAUGGAUCCUCUGCUGUGAAUGAGUGCCAUCAGAAUCCACAAGUAAUCCACUCGACUCCAUCAGUUGAUGUCUUCUGAAGUGAAAAGAUUCGUGUUUAUAAGAAACAAAUCCAUCAAGACAUUUUUAAACUUUGAACAUUGCUUCAGACAAAAAUACAAGUCCAUAAUCCACUAACAUAUUUUAAUGGUUUGGACAAAUAUUUUUUAUGUAUUUUUUAUUUUUUUUGUAAACUGUGCUUGAUCUGCGCAUAUCACUUUUCACUGAAAAUAAUUAUAUAUAUAUAUAUAUAUAUAUAUAUAUUAUGGAUAGAGGACUUGUGUUUUAGCUGGAAGCAGCAAUUUGAAGUUAAAAACAUCUUGAUGGAUAUGUUUCUGGACUGGAGUCAUGUGGAUUAAUUGUGGGUCAUUGUGAUGUUUUUAUCAGCUGUUUGGACUCUCAUUCUGACGGCACCCAUUCACUGCAGAGGAAUUAUUGGUGAGCAAGUAAUGUAAUGCUACAUUUCUCCAGAUCUGUUCUGUUGAUGAAGAAACAAACUCAUCUACAUCUUGGAUGGCCUGAGAGUGAGUACAUUUUCAGCAAAUUUUAAUUUUGGGGUGAACUAUUCCUUUUAUAUUCAAUGUAUAUAUGGACAGAUAAAUGUUCAUAAAUGUUCAACUGUCCAUUUAGUUUCCAUUCAUCUUCUGGAUCUAUAAUAAGGCAAAUGUUAGCAAGUAAAAAUAUUUAGUAAUUAGUAAAAUAUAUAUAUAUAUAUUACUAAUUGUGGCCUACUCAUGAGCAUUUGAAUUAAUUUUUUAAAGAGAUGUUACUUAUUUUAAAAGGAAAUCUAGUUUUACACAAUUUUACAAUAAGAAUCUUAUUUUCUAUUUUUGUUUAUACAGUAUUUUGAAAGAUAAACUCAAAUAAUGGAUUGUUUAGAUAUUUUGCAGCGAUUUUGUUUGAUCUGCCUUUUUUGGCUUGUUUUGAAUUAUUUCAUAUUAAAGUCAUUGAUAGUUUUGACUCUUUUGUACACUAUUAUGACAUUUAAAGGCGUCAGUUUCAUGUAUCUCAGUAAAUCUCAGAAGAGCUGGAGGUGAAACGGUGUCAGUGGAGACAUGCUCUGGUGCUGUGUGUUAAACUGUAUUGUUCUAACACCUAUAGUUUGAUUCACAGCACAAGAGUAGGCUCUCCUUGCUUCAUCAGGAAUUCUCCUUCUAAUUGCAAACAUGUCUGAUUAGCUUUAAACACAGUAACAGCUGCAGUGUACUAUAACUUGUAGUACUAGUGUUACUGUAUUUUAGAAGUUCACAUGUCAUCUGAUUUACUCUGAGGGACUCGUUUAUAAGUGGUUUGUGUAAACAGAACACUUUUUUUUAUUAUUUAAGAGAACUAACUGUGUGUCUUUAGGGGCCGGAAUCUUUGAAUAGAACAUUCCAAAAUUCAAAUGAAGAUUAUCCAGGAUUACAGUUCCAUGAAGAGCUUUUUUAUCACAGUCUGUUUAAAAAGAUUAAACAUGCUGAUUCUAACUAAUGAAUGUGGUGCUAACUGUUCCCCCAGUUAAAUCACGGGUGGACGUUUUUGUCUUUUGUUUAUAUUGUUGUUUUGACCUUGUAUGCUUUAUUCUAGCAGUUGGUUUGCUAAAGUUAUUCAGGUGACGGCACAAUCAUGCUCACAAAACUAGCAAAUUCAUCAGUUUGCAGGCAAGAUCUGAGAGUUAUAGUUCGAAAUUAUAUUAAAUGCAAUUAGUUUGGCCUAAAAUGUGCUUUUUUUAACUAAGUAGGAUAAAGUAUCUUUAUAUGUAAUUUCAUAAUUGGGUCCAUGAAAUUUGAAUGUAGGCAUACUGACUAGCAUUUAUGGCACACUAAAAUAUGCGAUUUUCAUGGUUCAAUUUUGAUUAUUUAGGAUCUAUAUCAGGUACAGUACAUGGCAAAAAAAAAAACGAAUGCUGUAAAACAAAGACAUGAGAGUCAGUUGGUAUUACAUUACUAUUAGAAAAAUUAAUUGAUUUGUAUACAAAGUCUUAAAUAACACUCAAUAAAGUUUUUAUAGUUAUAUUAACUUUAAUAGUU